GAUCAUGGCUCAGAUUGAACGCUGGCGGCAUGCCUUACACAUGCAAGUCGAACGGCAGCACGGGAGCAAUCCUGGUGGCGAGUGGCGAACGGGUGAGUAAAGUAUCGGAACGUGCCCAGUCGUGGGGGAUAACGUAGCGAAAGUUACGCUAAUACCGCAUACGAUCUAUGGAUGAAAGCGGGGGAUCGCAAGACCUCGCGCGAUUGGAGCGGCCGAUAUCAGAUUAGGUAG
rnacentral:rRNA from 1 species